rnacentral:misc_RNA from 1 species
CAUAAUUAUUGGACAUCAAUUAAUUUCAAUGUCAAACUACAAAAGGAAGCAAAACGGGUAUCAGUUUGCAACACAAGACACGCCUAGGAAUAUUAGCCUAAGCCGGAGAGCAGAGAGGGACCAUGGAAGAUGUUAACCUGUAAAUUUUUAAACUCUCCAAAGAACUAUCAUCCAGCCCUAUUUGAAAAAUUACAUUGACAAUUAUUACUACAAAACAACCAUUGCCUUUAGCUUGAUAACUUCUGACAAAAAUGUGGGAAGAGA